ensembl:lncRNA
UGGGCCGCUCCCGCUCUGAUAUAAAUUUUUUGAGUCAGUUCACGGCCUGGGCUCUCCAGGUGGCCUCCAAAAUCGAUCGUGACCUCGUGACCCUGUCUAACGGAGGCAUAGCAUCCAACCUAAGUAAGGAUUUAGGCAGGAGCGACAGCUUUCCGCUGAGUGUUAUUGGGGACAGUGCAAACAGUUUUGGAAGCGAGGAGGUAGGUAUGAGGAGCUGAGGUCAUUAAAGGCAUAUUAAAAAACAAUUUUAAACAACCUCGUUAGUGGAAAGUUUGUAUUAGCAUUAACCAUUCCUCAAGUAAACUGUUCUGUCAAGGACCCUUUUUCUCUCCCUAACAAUAUCAAAUCGAGCAUGAAUGCAGGAAAAAUUAGCACUUUAUAUAUUCCAAACCAAACUCAUAUUUUGAUUUUUAACUUAUAAACCAAAGUGGCUGACAUGUGGUGAGACGGGCUCCCAGGAAGCACGCUUUUGCUUUAAUGUCCUAAAACCCAGGAGAUGGCUUAUUAAAGCAAUAUGGUUAUUUUAGGGAGGAAUAUCUCUGAUGUAUGUAUUCUUUUUAGAUUCCUGGAGCUCUUAAGUGGGGUAAAUUUAUUUUUAAACUGGGAAAUUAAGUCACACUCAGAAUGGAAUGAAAGUAGGAGAGUUUCGCAGGCUUCCUUUGCUGAUCUGUAAUUCAAAUGGACAAGCUUUGGGUAUGCAUGUUUUUGCAGAAGAAAAUUUUCAUCUCGCUAAAAGAGAAUAGAGAAAAUUACAGUUUUCCUGUGAGAUUUUAAACAACAAACCAUUGGGGUGGGGACGAGGGUAGGCUGCUGCAGAGGUCUGAUUUUGUUAAAACAAAUCUAUAAACUUGUCCUCUGAGCAAGAGGAUUUGCUGUCCUGUUUGAUUACCAUCCCUGCAAGCCCCCAGCUCUGCACACCGUGCCCACAAUCACAGUCACCAGGUGAGUAAGUGGAACUGCACGGAGGAGCAAAGUCCAGUCUCCAAGGAGGAAAAUGCUCUCAAACUCUGAGUGACUUUAAAACUGCUCUGAAGGAAGAAAAUUGCGUUAAUGUUUGUUCCCAGUCUUGGAAAAAUUACACAAACUUAUCCCAGUGGGAAUCCUGCCCAAAGGCUUCUUUCGCUCCCUGUGCUAAACAGCAUUGCCCUGCCAGGCAGUGCCAUCCGCUGCAACAGUGGGAGCCUCUCGCUUGGACUGGAGCAGAGCCUGGCUCUGCAGAAAGCCCAGAACCCAGGGCCGCCUGUUGGCCGAGGUUCUGCCUCUUAGGGCUGCCAUAAUCUGCCCAUGGGGGUUAUCUGAAGAGCAGGAAACGAAUUGGUACUAAUAAGAGGGGCAGAACUGUGCCCUAAAUAAUGUGAGGCCCAGACCUGCACGUGCAGUAUCAGUGACAACACUCACUCUAAUUCCAUCCUCACUACUGCCCAUAGUUUGUUGCUGUUGGUUUUUGGUAGAACUGUACUAAAACCAAUUUAUUUGCAUUAGCAAGCGUGUUGGUUCAGGGAAGUGCCCUCUAUGACUAAGCUUGGCAAGGCAGAGCUCACAGUCCUUGAUGAGGAUCAGCAUCAGCGUAUUUGCUUGGUUUUCAGAAAAAGCAUUUAAAAAUAGGAAUUGCGAGCAGCUGCAAGGUGAAUCCUCAGUGGUUUCAAAAGCAACUGCAGAAUAUUUAGCAGCUUUCUUUCUCUCUCUCUCUCUCUCUCUUUUUUUUUUUUUUUUUAAUAUUCAUAUCUCCUUUGUAAAGUAAGCAUACAGUGUCCCAGUUCCACCUGACAAGCAGGGUGGAUGAUCCAACCAUCUAAAGCAGAGGAUCCAACCAUUGCACUGGAACUUUGGACAAAAUUACCCCAAACUUUCUCAAAAGACUUGGGAGGAGGAAUCAUUAACAGAGGCAGUGACGGGGGGGUCUCAGGAUCUUUUACUUGCUGCAAAUUCUUUUGAGUUGAACAUUGUAGAUCCUGUCCACUUUAUAAUCAACCGCAGGUCUACAAAUGCCCCCUGAUACAGGCCCCUGGGUUUGCAUCUUUUGUAACUCUUUGCCUUUUUUUUUAAUUGUUCAUCUCAUACAGCUGGGAUGUGGUGUGUGUUGGCAGUUGCUACAGUGGGUCUGCUCAUCUUCCUUGGCCCCUCCAGAUCUGGGAAGUUCUCACUCCCAAUCAUUUGAUUCCAUGAAAUACCUUCUGAAGUGCAGGCUGCUUUCAUUUGAACGGAACGAUAUACAUGAAUGGGCUUAACACAGCGUUAGAGACGAGCAGUCGGAAUCAGCAAGGGCUCUGGGCUGGUGGUUCCCAGCCUCUAUCAUAUGGAUCACUGCUAAUCCAUGGGGACUUGGUGAGUUUGCUGCAGGUGGUCUGUGGAACUGUAUUAAAUAAUAACGCUCAUGGUCUUCAAUUAAAAUUUUGAUGAGAAGAGUGUGUGGCAGCCCGCACUCAAGUCUGAGAGCUGAGAGUGAUCUGCCGGCCUGAAAGGUCUGAGGAUGUCUGCUUCGCAGGACUGUGUCUCAGCCUGUGGUCCACCAGGCAGCAGAAAAUAUUUUCAGAUUAAUUACAUGUGCAGCAAAUGAGCACGCUUUCUCACUCAGGCAAGCAAGCAAGCAAAAGAAAAACAAAACAACAACCAAAAAAAAGCACUUCAAAACAAAAUGAAGAAAAUAAAAGCUACAAAUUAACACUGAAGCCCGAGCCUAGCUGGUGUUUGUUUUUUUCUGAAAACCACAUUUCCAGUGGUGCUGAGUGGGAAGCACUGCUCAGCCCAGAGCAGGGCUGGAGAAGCUCUGCACUCACCGGAGGAAGCACUGAGGGCAAGUGGGCAGCCGGGCUGACAGGUGUGCUGCCAGGAGGUGCCGAACAAAUGCUGUGCUUCCUUCUCCUUUUCUUCGCCUCUCCUCUCUGCUUUAAGUGUGUGCAUGGCUGGCGUGCAUGGGAAAAGUCAAACUAAUUCUGAUGCUUUUCCCUAUUCUAGGCAGACUAAGUCAGAGAAAGCACUUAGGGCAGCCUUUGCAGAAGGGUUACAAUGUAGGUUGAUACUUUAGGAGCUAUAGGAAGUUCUUAAUCCUUCACUGCCUACGGGACUGUCAUUUAUAGACCUGCUAUUGUCUCAUCUUUUAUAAGGAUGUUUCCUUACAUUAAGGCUCCAAAAGCAACCAGACUUGGCCAUUGUUCGCAGCUUUCAGCUUGUGGCUUAAUGCACAUCUAAUAUUUUGCUUCUGCUUUCACUGCUCUCCUACACAGCAGACUGUACCUACACACUGGUUUAGGUGACAUCAUUCUGAAAAUAUUCAUUCCAGCGUUUCAUUUCUUUCUUUUUUUUUUCCUCCUGAUUUGUCUGCACAUCUUGAUUUUGCAUUAGCCUCAUUUAUUACAGGUAACGUGGUAAAGCAUGAGGAACUUCAUGUGAUUUGCUUCUCAUUUCAUGUUUAGUUCUCAGUUGAAGAAUAGCCACACAAACACACGUCCUUCUUACAACAAAAACUUGUAAGUGCUAAAUUUCCACCAGGUCAAAUGCUUUAUUUAUAAUCCAAAUUUAAGUAUUUCUUACCAUAUAAUGGGAAUGAAGUUGGACAUGAGCAAACAAAAUGGAAAUGCAGAUUAUUUUGGCUUUGUACAAGUUUGCCUGAGAUUAGCUGAAAUAAAGCAGGUGAUCUGGUGACAGGAUGAUGUUCUGCCUUCCUGCUCUGCCUUGUGUGUGUUACAGACCUUCUUUGGAGCUCAGAACUGUGUCUAUAAAAUAAUAAUAAUUUCACAAAGUACUUUUUUAUGCCUGGAAGUUUUGCUGUCUGCAGUCACUGGUGGGCAGAGCACACAGGAACGUGUGAUGCGCUCCUUCCUGAUCCCGAGUUGCGCCCUGCUUAGCAGUUCCUCUUGCUGUUUAGUUGCUCGUGUAGUUUCCAGUUAUGUAACCCAUCUCAUUUUGUGAAUAUGUGAAUUUAACAGCUGUCAUUGUCAGCAGUGCUGGUGUGGUUUCUUUUUUUUUUUGUUUCUUUUUUUUUUUUUUUGGCAAGCUGGCAUUACUCAUCAGUCUCAUGGCAGUUUUGUUUGAAAAAUGCUUGUGCUAGAAAAAGUGGAUUUAUCAGCUCAGCACUGUAUGGUGCUAGCAUGCAGCACAACAAAAGACAAGUGCUCAUUUCAGUAACGCUUGCAGCAUUUCAUGGGGCCCCCAAAUAGGCUGAACAAGGCUUCUCUGGCAGCUACGCUGAAGUACAGUGGGAAACUGUUAAAGUGGCAGUGUCACUGCCUGGAAAACGGCCUCUGUUUUCUCCCAUCAGUUAUUGCUGCUUUCUGUGUUGUUUGUUUGUUUAAAGACUAUUUACCGCAGUAGGAAUUUCAUUGAAUAUUGGAGAAAAGGACACCAAGAAGUGUCUUUUUCUAACUGUUUCUUGGAGCACAGACCAAGCUGUCAGUCUGUCCUUCUCAAAGUGGCUCUGUCAUGUGAGAAAAAAUAAGACACUUGUGGCUUUUACAAGUAAGUCAGCCCUGUUGCAGCCCAUCAGGGAGAUCUCAUUCCCUGUUUAAAGCAGUUUUUUUUCAGAAUUUUUGCCACACUUCCAGUUUCUUUCAGAGCUGCUCUUCCAGAAUGCAAAUGCAACUUGGGUAGUGUUCUGUAUUUAAUUGAAUGUGUCAGGUGGUUAGAGUCAUGUUUUAAAAACAGUAUUGCAUACUGCAAAUAUGCCAGACCCUUUGUUCGCAGGCAUUUAAAACAAAUGCAUUUUUCAGUAUUUAUUUAUUCUGUCUGAUUGCAUUCCAUACAGAUGGGGAAGAUAAACAAGUGAGUUCCAUUUUGGCUUAUAAAUUGUCUUUUACUUUUUCAGGCAAGAUUCUUCAGAGCCUGAGUGACUUCAGAAGGAGAAACUUAUUAGAAGAAGUCUUUGCCAUUAUAUGUAUAGUAAGUUCACCUCCCAUGUGUGCUUGUGCUCCAUACAGAGCUGGGCUGCAUGAGAGGAAUGGGCACAUGCGGUUUGAUCUCAUUUUGCUCACCAUGGAAAGGGACAGCUGCAGUGAGCUGCCUGUUUUCUGAGUUAUCAGCUGCCAGACAGCCUGUAACACCUCAGCCAGAGGCACAGGGACCUCACCAUAAGUGCAUGCUGGCCUAAGGCCAUACCUGCACAUGCAAGGUGCAGAUCCUUUGGACUCCACACCUGUAGUGUGGCAUCCACAAAGCAGCAGCAGCAAAGCAGUUACCACUGUGUGCAAACAGCUUGCUGUGAUUAACCUAUCAGGGCUCAUGCUUGUCUGAGGACAGCUGGAGCUGGUAAGAUGUUUGCCUUGCAGUACCCAGAAAGCUGGAUAUCUCUUGGAGUGGUUCUGGAUGGUUACACACAAAUUGGAGACAUUGGUCUCCUGCCAGACCAGGCAGAAAUAACACAGCAAGAUGCCUCAGGGAAGCAAGGAAGUUGUUCAGGACUUCCUCUUCCCUCAACAACAGCAAACCUGAAAGCCAUAGAGGGGCAGGCUGGAGAACUGAGCUUGGCUGAAGACCUCUUGUCACUGACACUCCCAUGCUCCCAUCUUGGGCUGCUGGAGAGUGGCAUGUCCUUCAUGACUCACUGUACCCUCACAGUCAUAGCUCAUCUUCUGUGCCUGGCUGAGCACAGAGGGCCAAUCAUGCUGCAGGACCUCAGUGUAAGAUGUCGUCACAACAAGCAAUUGGAAAAGCCAAAGAAGGCUGAAAUCCAUGGCUGUGAAGAUGGAGUUGGCUGUUUCACUAUGAGAUGUGGAGGAAAUAUUUAUCCUACACCUACCGCAGCCAGACUGCAGUUGUUGAGUUGAGUGACAAGGAAAUGGGAGCCUGGGAUGUCUCAGCACAAGCUUCCCUAAGCCUUGACUUGGUGGGUGAGCACCUGAACACAGCCAGAGCCUGUUACAUUAAAGGCUUUAUAAAAGCAACAGUGCCAGGCUGACAUCCACCUCCCACGUUACCGGCAGCCCCAGCAGGUGUAAUGCGAUCCGGCAGGCGCAGCUAGCAGAUAAACAAACGGCCUUUCUGCACAGGUUGUGCCAGAGAGCCUCUCCCAGCAGGGAAUUGGGUUGGAUGUUGUACUAGGUCAGUGAGCUGCUAUGGAAAGAGCUGUGACAAUGGACAAUAUUGUCCUUUUUCCACACAGGAUUUUCCCUCAACACUUAAGGCAAGGCAGCAGAAAAACUGUUGGGGAAAGUUUCUCUACCAGGCCUCAGAAGUUUAGUGGGAUUGGGCCCUCAAUGGGGGCCUACUGCUGGAUUUCCCUAGGCCGUCACUUCAAUGCCGCCAGGCCAGCCAGCAGCGCUGAGGGCUGCCUGCCAGAGCUGCUUGCUUGCUCUGCCAUUGGGGCUCAUCUCUAAAUCUGGAAUAGUUUCACUCCGAACAACAAACGUGGACGCUGCUCAACGGGGAGGAGGAGGGGAACACAGCCACCCAGUGUUUGCAGACUCCAGCACAGCAAAGUGGUGGACUUGAGGCAAGUUCUGCCGUGGAAUGGCUGCUGCACGUAUCUGCUUGUGCAGUGGGUAAACAAAGCAUCACAUGGGCUGCAGGCUGAGCACGAGGCGCGUGGCUGACCUAUACGUGUAUGAGGCAUGCAGGAGGAACAGCAUAUUCCAAACAUUAGAGCCUGGUGGGAUAUUCAGGAACUUCUCUCAAAAAACUCAAACAAACGAAACAAAACCACAAAUUGAUUAUAACUGAAAAAUUAUUUGGCUUGAUUUCUCCUGUUUUUCCACAAGUUUCAGUGAGUAUUUACAUAAGCGUAUUUCUACAUUGCCUUGCAUUGGAAACAGCUUGUAAGUAUGUUCAUCAAAAUGUCAGUCAAUUAUAAUGUAACUCAUUGCACCUGUUUGGACCUCAGUAGUUGCUAAUUGUAACUGUGCAUUUACAGCUGUGACUGUGCUGGUGCUCAGCCUCGGACCUGACUGCCCAUAGGACAUUUCAAACUAGAAAUUAAAAUCACUGCGUGUGUUUCAGAACUGCUCUCAUAGACGAAACCUUUGCGCUAAAGCUUGUACUGUCACGAGAAAGGGAAAUUAAUUUUGGAUUGAUGCUACUCAGAAGGACCAUUAUACCCUUGCAGGAUCACAGUGACUGCUUUUUCAGUGAUGUACCAGGCUGUGAUGGUGCUUGGACUGUCUCCUAACAUUUCUAUAGACAAGAGCUACUUAAACAGCAAGUCCAGGCUUGGGCCAAACUGCAAGUACUCUUUAUGUAGACAGGCAAAGUGUCAGACACAAAGUUUUCCACUUUAGAGCAGGCGAUCUGCUUGCUUCCUCUUCCCUGACCUGGAGACCUGUUCCAGGCAUUGCCUGAGUCUUAACCCUUCAAUGAGAGGUGCCUCUCUGAGCUGCCCCUUGGCCAUGGUACCUAAUGGGUGGAGGUAUGAAUUCUUCAUUCAGACCUGGCCAAAUCCAGUGCUAGACCUGGAUGCAAACCAGUUCUACCGAAGGUUUAGGUAGUGAAGGAACUGAAACUUGCUGCUUACCUGCCAUGCUGCACAGGGCCAGCAUGAGACCCAGCCCUACAAGCUCUGCUUGUAGGGUUUUGGUAUUUUUGACACAGUCAUUUGGCAUUUUGAUUUCCCUAUGGUACAAACAGGGGGACAAUCUAAAAAUAAGAAAUAGCUUUCCUGCACAAAUACCUUGAAUCAUUAGAAACUGAUGCUCUGUGAGUUUGCUGGGAAUCUGUUACUGUUUUUAUAUUUUCAUAGGGAUGUAAUCAUCCAACACUGUUGGACAGAGGUAAACAUGAGUAACCCAAUUUUGUUCUUACACUUGGAACACUGCAAAUAGCUAUAUAGUCCUGAAGUUUUUGUAUCUAACCAGAUGACACUGGGGGAAGUGAAAUAUUUCUUAUUAAACUGAGGCAAAAUAUGCCUUUGUGAUCUAUAAGGAAGUCUAAUAAUUUUGGGUUCAAAGAUGUCUAAUGUUGAAUUAUUAAAUGACUCAAUGUAGCUUUCUUUUAGAAGGGGUGAUACUCAUCCAUCAGCUGGAUCCAAGCUAUUACAAAAACUCUGCUAGAAAUAGAAUGAGAAAUAGACCAAAAACUCAGAGCUCAGGCUUGCAAAUAAAAUAAAUUGUUGUGACUGGUUGUUCACUAAUAUAUGUGAAAGAGGGGCUACGUGUUACGUGUCUUUUAUUAUUGACAGUGUGCCCAAUGCUGUAUGGUAAAUGUUUGAACAGUGUCACCUUCUGUUCUGCCUCCUUCACCUACAGGAGCAGCUCUGGUGGCGAAGGGGCAGCGUGAGGCACUGCUGGCCCCAACUUCCCGCAGGUGUCCAUCCGGCACCCGAGGCCUCGAGCAGCACCGUGUCUGUGUCCUGUGCCAUACCCACAGCCCUGGAACCAUGCAAGGAGAAUGAAGUUUGUUCUAAACGUGAAUUUAAUGUGCUUUCAGAUUUGACAGCCUCUUUUAAAAGGAAACGUUUAAGUUGAGCGAAAGGCACAUUUGCUUCUCCAAAUAAAUGGAAUUAUAGUUCAAAGAUCUGACUUAAUCCUGAGGCUCUUGCACUGUGCAGUAAGUAGGAAAGAAAGGGGAUUGCUCCGAGGAGCAGGGGUUAGCAGGAUCAGGGGCUGUUUUAUAUCAUCUCAUUUUCCUUCUGGUAUUUAAUAUACUUUCUUCUCAACUUGCACUGGCUGGUUCUAAAAAGACCCAGUAGUGUCAUACGUUAACUAAUGGCAUAUAAACUACUAAUUGAAACUAAUGAAGGAUGGUACAGGGAGUUCCCAUCCAGCUUUCCUGCUAGGCAAAUUUGAUUAUUGUUAAGCAAACAAAAAUGCCAUUCUUCCAGAUGUAUUCUCUCAUAUGGUUUCGUCCUUUUUCAGUUCAUUUCAGGACUUUUCUCAAAAUGCAUUUUACUUGUUAUAACUAUGUGCUCUUUUUCCACUUUAAAAAAAUGUAUAUACAACUGUGUUUUAAAAUCUACGUUGACAUUUCAGUGAUAUGAAGGAAGAUGUUUACACAGUAACAGUGCCAUCUAUAUUUAUUGUAUCUCUACAAACAGAAGUUCUGAUCAGAUAAAAUUAAAAUAUGUGUGUGAUGGUUUUUGUGUGUUGUAAUGACAUCUGUAUGUUUCUAGUUGUGAUUUUGGUGCCUGCCCCCACAUUACCUGGCUGGUUAAGGAAAGUGGGAUCAAUAUUCUUACUUCUCCGACGUAUCAGUUUGUUCGUUAACCCCAGUGCUGCUGGCUGCACUCUCUGAAAUCAGUGAUUUGUCUUUGAGCUAUUUCUUUUUCUGCCAAAGCGCCGAGGUACAUGUAUUCCAGGCAGUAGCUGCAUCUGCGGGACAUGCUAACGUGGAGAGGAGCCUGGGCAGGAGGAGCACUGUGCCUAAAGGGAGCGUUCAAGAAGAGUCUCCAGCAAAGAUUAAAAUGAAGAAUGAAUGAAAUUUAUUGUGGCAAAGUUUCCUUCAUAGGCUGCAAAAAUAUGUGUACAGACAUUUGGAUAAAGAAAGUUUUGCAAGCUUCAUUUCGAGCCAAAACCCUUUUGCAUGGAAAAAUAAAACAAAACAAAACAAAACCAAAAACCUAAAUAAAUCCUCCUUAAAGAUGAGAC